rnacentral:rRNA from 1 species
CACGUAGGGGGCAAGCGUUGUCCGGAUUUAUUGGGCGUAAAGAGCUCGUAGGUGGUUCCGUCAGUCGGGUGUGAAAACUCUGGGCUCAACCCAGAGACGCCACCCGAUACUGCGGUGACUAGAGUCCGGUAGGGGAGCGUGGAAUUCCUGGUGUAGCGGUGAAAUGCGCUGAUAUCAGGAGGAACACCAACGGCGAAGGCAGCGCUCUGGGCCGGUACUGACACUGAGGAGCGAAAGCGUGGGUAGCGAACAGG